rnacentral:rRNA from 1 species
AUUGAACGCUGGUGGCAUGCCUAACACAUGCAAGUCGAGCGGCAGCAUGCUUAGUAGCAAUACUAAGUGAUGGCGAGCGGCGGGCGGGUGAGGAACACGUAGGAACCUGCCCAAGAGAGGGGGACAACCAAUGGAAACGUUGGCUAAUACCGCAUAAUCUCUUAGGAGAAAAGUUGCCCGUAAGGGUAGCGCUUUUGGAGGGGCCUGCGUCCGAUUAGCUAGUUGGUGAGGUAAUGGCUCACCAAGGCUGUGAUCGGUAACUGGUCUGAGAGGACGACCAGUCACACUGGGACUGAGACACGGCCCAGACUCCUACGGGAGGCAGCAGUGGGGAAUCUUGGACAAUGGGGGCAACCCUGAUCCAGCGAUGCCGCGUGGGUGAAGAAGGCCUUCGGGUUGUAAAGCCCUUUAGGCUGGGACGAAGGGUGUGGGACGAAUAAUCCUGCACUUUGACGGUGCCAGCAGAAUAAGCACCGGCAAACUCUGUGCCAGCAGCCGCCGUAAUAC